rnacentral:siRNA from 1 species
GGCAAACUUCAUGUGCUGAUGUGU